UGGAAGGUUUUCCAGCCCUCUUACAGAUCUCCAAGCUCAGAGGUCUGCCCCGCUUGCACCCUGUGCGCUCCCUCCCCCGAGGGCCCGCAGAGCAGGCCGCGUCUAACCUUCACCCACGCCUGGCAUCCCCAGCACCCUGGGCUGUGUUAAGCCCCGUCUGACCCACUUGGAAAAGUUCACGUGCCCAGGCUGGGCCCUUGGGCCCGUGUGAUCGCCAGCCAAGAAGGCGGCAGGAAGGGUCCUGCAGAGAGAAAGAUCUUCAGUAGCUUCCUAGUUGAUGGGCCUGCCUGCAGCCUUGCCCCGCCUCGGUCACACGCCCCUCCCCUCCCAGCAAGUGCUCUGUAACAGCGAUUCGAUCAGUUAAUGACUGUCCGUGGCCCCCAUUGCCCGCAUGGUCCUCCCCCCUUCAGUGCUUGGCCUCUGGCCCGACCCUGUCCCCACGCCCCCCCCCGUGACCCACUGGGGCUCCCCAGCACCGCGGACUGGUCGUCCCCCAGAGGCCCUUAUUCCUACUGCUGUCUGUGCCUCGUCGUCCCCGGCCCCCCGCCAUUGCUCCCCGCCAACUCCUACCUAUGCGUUAAGGCCCAGGCAGAAUGUCCCCUUCCGGAUGAAGCCGUCCCUGAUACCUUCUUCCGCUAGAACCGCCCACUUCCUUCUCCCCGUGUCUCACGUUGCCGGGAGCACUGACUCUGCCGUUGGGACGCUGUUUGUGCUCCUGGUAACCUGCCCUUCGUGGGGAGCCCCUGGAGGGUGGAGGUCAUUCCCCUUCAUCCGGCCGUGCGGCCAGCACCCGGCAGACCCUGCACAAGUG